AACGAACGCUGGCGGCAGGCUUAACACAUGCAAGUCGAGCGCCCUGCAAGGGGAGCGGCAGACGGGUGAGUAACGCGUGGGAAUCUACCCAUCUCUACGGAAUAACGCAUGGAAACGUGUGCUAAUACCGUAUACGUCCUUCGGGAGAAAGAUUUAUCGGAGAUGGAUGAGCCCGCGUUGGAUUAGCUAGUUGGUGGGGUAAAGGCCUACCAAGGCGACGAUCCAUAGCUGGUCUGAGAGGAUGAUCAGCCACACUGGGACUGAGACACGGCCCAGACUCCUACGGGAGGCAGCAGUGGGGAAUAUUGGACAAUGGGCGCAGGCCUGAUCCAGCCAUGCCGCGUGAGUGAUGAAGGCCCUAGGGUUGUAAAGCUCUUUCACCGGUGAAGAUAAUGACGGUAACCGGAGAAGAAGCCCCGGCUAACUUCGUGCCAGCAGCCGCCGUAAAAC
rnacentral:rRNA from 1 species